rnacentral:rRNA from 1 species
AGAGUUUGAUCAUGGCUCAGGAUGAACGCUGGCGGCGUGCCUAAUACAUGCAAGUCGAGCGGUAAGGCCCCUUCGGACACGAGCGGCGGACGGCUGAGUAACGCGUAGGAAUGUACCCCAAAGUGAGGGGAUAAGCACCAGAAAUGGUGUCUAAUACCGCAUGUGAUCCACGGAUUAAAGCUUUAUGCGCUUUGGGAACAGCCUGCGUUCGAUUAGCUAGUUGGUAGUGUAAUAGACUACCAAGGCGAUGAUCGAUAGCUGGUCUGAGAGGAUGAUCAGCCAGACUGGGACUGAGACACGGCCCAGACUCCUACGGGAGGCAGCAGUAGGGAAUUUUCCACAAUGGGGGCAACCCUGAUGGAGCAACGCCGCGUGCAGGAUGAAUGCCUUCGGGUUGUAAACUGCUUUUAUUAGUGACGAUUAUGACGGUAACUAAUGAAUAAGGACCUGCUAACUACGUGCCAGCAGCCGCGGUCAUACGUAGGGUCCAAGCGUUAUCCGGAAUUACUGGGCGUAAAGAGUUGCGUAGGUGGCAUAGUAAGUAGAUAGUGAAAGCGUGUGGCUCAACCAUACAUCCAUUAUCUAAACUGCUAAGCUUGAGGAUGAGAGAGGUAGAUGGAAUUCCUAAUGUAGGGGUAAUAUCCGUAGAUAUUAGGAGGAACACCGAUGGCGUAAGCAGUCUACUGGCUCAUUCCUGACACUAAGGCACGAAAGCGUGGGGAGCAAACGGGAUUAGAUACCCUAGUAGUCC